AUUCCAGCUCCAAUAGCGUAUAUUUAAGUUGUUGCAGUUAAAAAGCUCGUAGUUGGAUUUUGGGUCGGGGGCACCGGUCCGCCGUUCCGGUGUGCACUGGUGGCCCCUUCCUUUCUGCCGGGGACGUGCGUCGCACUUAAUUGGGUGGCGUUCGGAGUCGGCGUUGUUACUUUGAAAAAAUUAGAGUGUUCAAAGCAAGCCAUCGCUCUGAAUACAUUAGCAUGGAAUAACAUGAUAGGACUCCGGUCUUAUUUUGUUGGUUUCCGAGACUGGAGUAAUGAUUAAGAGGGACAGUCGGGGGCAUCCGUAUUUCAUUGUCAGAGGUGAAAUUCUUGGAUUUAUUGAAGACGGACUACUGCGAAAGCAUUUACCAAGGAUGUUUUCAUCA
rnacentral:rRNA from 1 species